GGAGUAUGGGCCGUGUCUCAGUCCCAUUGUGGCUGAUCAUCCUCUCAAACCAGCUACUGAUCGUCGCCUUGGUGGUCCAUUACACCCCCAACUAGCUAAUCAGAUGCAGACUCAUCCCAGAGCAAUAAAUCUUUCACGAAUAGUAUCUCAACUACGCGCAUAUGGGGUAUUAGCAGGAGUUUCCCUCUGUUGUCCCCCACUCUAGGGCAGAUUCUCUACACAUUACUCACCCGUCCGCCACUUUCCAUCCACCGAAGUGAAUUUCUCGUUCGACUUGCAUGUAUGAAGCACGCCGCCAGCGUUCGUCCUGAGCCACUGAUCAAACUACU
rnacentral:rRNA from 1 species